AUUAUUUAAGACGAACUAUUAAGAAUGUUAGAGUAGUAGUAGCUAUGAUCUUGAAACUCAAAAAUUUUGGCGGUAUUUUAGACUGUUCAGAGGAACCUGUGAUGUAAUUGAUAAUCCACGAUGAACCUUACUUAAAUUUGUAUUUCAGUUUGUAUACCGCCGUUAUUUGAAAAUUUUUUCAGAACUAUAAUUUUCAAGAUUUUUAAUAAAAAAGUAAGUCAGGUCAAGGUGCAGCUUAUGUUUAAGUAUUUCAUGGGUUACAUUAAAUUUAUUUAAACGGAUUAAUUUUUGAAAUAAAUGUAUGAAGGCGGAUUUGAAAGUAAAUUUUUAAAGAUUAAAAGAUUGACUUUAGCUCUAAAAUAUGCACACAUCGCCCGUCACUCUUGUUAAUAAUAUAAGAUAAGUCGUAACAUAGUAGAGGUACCGGAAGGUGCUUCUAGAAUGACAAUUUAAAGCUUGUUUAGUAAAGCAUUUCAUUUACAUUGAAAAGAUUAUUGUGCAAAUCAAUAUAAAUUGAUAUAGUAUAAUUAUUAAUAUUAUUUGGUUUAUUAAUAUCUAUUAGAAAUAACUAUAAAUUUGGUUUUAGUAUUUUAUAAAGAACUAAUAAUUUUAAUUAUAGAGAAUUAGUAAUUUGAAUGAAUUUUGAAAUAAUUGAAAAAUAUAUAUUUAUAAAGAA
rnacentral:rRNA from 1 species